UCUCCGCGUGUUUUCAGUCGGGUCUGGACAGCGGAAAACGCACGUUGACCGCUUUGACCAGUCCUUCCGAAGACGUUCCGCGGUCUGUUCGUAUUCGAACUUCUGAACAGACUCAAGACUGUUCCAAAACUGUUUCUAAGUCGUUCGAUCGCGUUGUUGUCAGGUGCUUUGCUCUUUUCAUGUGACAUGUUCGGAAAAUAGUUUCUAUUCAUCCAAAGUCUCGGGGGAGACUUUUUUUAUUGGACCGUUUUGCACUUCUGGUGUGCUCUCUACUUAAAACUCUUGGAUCUUCGAUGAUGAAAAUAUUGGCAGGUGUGGAGGAGGUGGCCAGCGAAGAAGACAAGGAACUUAUUAAUGGAAAUGUUUGCAAUAACCACCAUGAAAAGAAAAAAAAAUCUCAGUUGGCUGAAGAAUCAAUAAAACCAGGCAUCAAUCAGAGGCGAAUCGAACGUCCAAAGGAUCCUGCGGAACUACCCAUUAAGAGUGAGAUUACAUUCGAAGAUGAGGAGAGGAUGAGAAAGUUACUUCCUUUUCACUUAGCUCCCGAAUAUCUUCAAUUCAAUCCUUUUAUUCUCCAUGGCUACAGAGGCUACCUCACGACCAAAUUAUGCCUAGAAAGCAUCUUUUGGUGGACUAACGAAACAAUUAAUAUAUGGAGCCAUAUUUUUGGAUGGAUGUUAUUUUUUGGAUUAACAUUCUACGAUCUAUGUCUAUUGAAUAUCCAUGCGCCAUUUAAUGACAAAAUGAUUGUGGCACUACUACUAAUUUGUUUUCAGGCAUGUAUGAUCCUCUCGUCCAUCUAUCAUACCUUUUCUUGUCGAAGUGAGCAUGAUUAUUGGUGUUUCCUGUCCUUUGACCUCUUUGGCAUUGCUCUAAGUUUAUUAGCAAUUUACAUGUCUGGGGUAUAUUAUGCCUUCUGGUGUCAUAAGGCACUGCAACAUUUUUAUUUAAUAACAGUCCUACUAAUAUUUAUAUUUGCUAUGGUUCUGCAAGUGCCAAAGUUUAAUGUAGAUGGCAACGUGAAAUUGAUAGUUUUUGUUGCCUGGGCAGCUUAUGGUGUUUUGCCAACUUUACACUGGAGUGUGGCAAUGGGUGGCAUGGAAAACCCCAUGGUUCGGAUGCUCCUUCCACGAGUUUUAGGGAUGUAUGUUAUUAGCGGAUUAGCUUUCCUUAUCUAUCUCAGCAAAAUUCCAGAGCGAUUUUAUCCAGGCUCUGUGGACUUUAUUGGAUCUUCUCAUCAAUGGUGGCACGCGUUGGUCGUACUGGCUCUAUAUUAUUGGCACAAUACAGGAAUGUUGUAUGUUGAGUACAGAAUGAAUCAUGGCUGUCCUAGUAAUAUGAGAUUAUGACAUACGGAUGACGGUGGUCAAUCAGUUUGACAUCCUGCAAAUUAUAAAACAUUCGGAUUCGAUGAUAGGCUCAAUAUUUUACAAUGGAAUGCGCAUGCGAAGCGGAACGGGACAUGCGGCUGUCGCAUUGGUAUCAAGAUUUGCCAUUCUAUGCCCAAAAGAGUUUGACUUCUUACAUCGUAGAGAAGCCUUUAUAGUCCGGGAGCCACAAAGAAGAGGUGGUAU